CCAUGUGUCUGGGCUGGGAAAC
rnacentral:miRNA from 1 species